UAAGACAAAUUUGUUGGAAUUUUGAAGAAGCAUGACAGGAGCCCUAUACUUGAUUUUCCUGUGCAUCAUCACUGUCUCUUCCUCAAUUAGGCGGUUCGCGCUCUCUUUACGGCGCCAAAUUCAAGAGAUUCUGUUUUUCCUGUUUGCUUCGGAUUCAAGCAAGCUGAUUGAGGAAAAUGGUUUCUGGUUUAAUCAAUGCCAAUCCCAUUGUGUAUGAAAAGAAGGAACGCCGAGCUAGAACUGAACCUGGUGAUGUGGAUGAGUAUGCUGUGGAGGCCAUUGACCAACUAGAAAUUUUUGAUCAUCUUAGAGACAUAAAAGAUCCUGAGCAUCCUUAUUCACUGGAAGAGCUGAAAGUUAUAACAGAAGAUGCAAUUGUGGUAGAUGACAAUCAUAACUGUGUGAGGGUGACAUUCACUCCAACAGUUGAACAUUGCAGUAUGGCAACGGUGAUCGGCCUUUGCUUGCGAGUGAAACUCAUGCGUAGCCUACCUUUGCAUUAUAAGGUGGAUAUCAGGGUAGCACCUGGAACUCAUGCAACUGAAGCUGCAGUGAAUAAAUAGUUGAAUGAUAAAGAACGGGUGGCAGCCGCUUUGGAAAAUCCCAACCUUGUAGAUAUGGUUGACGAAUGUCUGGCUCCAUCUUAUGCUUGAAAGGAACACAUAACUCCAAUUUGAAGGAUACAUCCUAAGCACUUCAGUGUCCUAACAACAUUGCCUCUGCUGCUUCCAGUAGUCCUAUUUGAUUUAGUUGGUCCUUCCGAUAUCAGUGAGGGAUCAACAAUCUCCAUCACCUGCUCAGCAGCAGCCAUCUUAACAUGGUUAUGGAGAUUGAAAUUGUCUGUAAACAUGUUGUCUGUUGGUCUUUUUCCCGUAAACAUCUCUAGUAAAACAAUUCCAUAACUAUACACAUCACCUUUUAUUGAUGCUUCCCCACCUACAGCAUAUUCUGCAAGUAGAAACAAUCGCAACAGUUUGAUAUUA